rnacentral:rRNA from 1 species
CAGUCGCCGCGGUAAUACGUAGGUGGCAAGCGUUGUCCGGAAUUAUUGGGCGUAAAGCGUGCGUAGGCGGUUUUUUAAGUCUGAUGUGAAAGCCCACGGCUCAACCGUGGAGGGUCAUUGGAAACUGGAAAACUUGAGUGCAGAAGAGGAAAGUGGAAUUCCAUGUGUAGCGGUGAAAUGCGCAGAGAUAUGGAGGAACACCGGUGGCGAAGCGGCUCUCUGGUCUGUCACUGACGCUGAGGCUCGAAAGCGUGGGUAGCGAACAGGAUUAGAUACCCGCGUAGUCCCUGUCUCUUAUACA